AUCAUUAGCUGGUUUACUGAGCUGUCUUUCAUCAUAGAUUCCAAAUUCUGUUGGAUUCUUUCAACUAUUGUUAACCAAUAAAUUGUAUGUUGUGGAUAGUCGAUGAACUUGAAAUAAAAGAUUUCUUUUUCCUUCCAGUUUGUUGUAGCAGUGUUCUGGAUCAUUUAUGCCUAUGACAGAGAGAUGAUAUACCCGAAGCUGCUGGAUAAUUUUAUCCCAGGGUGGCUGAAUCACGGAAUGUUUAACCUAAAAAGGGCCACUUCAUUUCCUUAGGCUGCACUUCUAAUGAAUGCAGACAUUUGAAAGGGUCCUGAACCGGAUAACCUUUCGAGUUUUCUCCAGUUUUAUUAUUCUGUGAAGACAGUUUGGUGUAAAUGAUUUAAGAGCAUUUCAAAGCUUAAAGUUUUCUUGGCACGCUUUUCAAACGCCCAUCUGACUUUGAAGCAGGCUGCCUCUCCACAGAAAGCUUGCUCCAGCAAUGACUAAAGGAUUGACCUGGUGCCAUGCAUGCUGCUCUGCACAAGAAGGACAUUUGGAAAUGACCUUGAAGCGAAGUUUUGCCAAGUUGAUGA
rnacentral:lncRNA from 10 species